AGCCAGUAAGCAGCACCCCUCCAUGUCCUCUGCAGCAGCUUCUGCUCCAGGACCCUGCCCUGUUUGCAUUCCUAUCCUGAUUUCUUUGAUGAUGAACAGUGAUAAGGAAGUGUAAUCCCAAUAAACCCUUUCCUCCACACGUUGUUUUUGGUUGUAGUGCUUGAUCACAGCACUAGAAACCCUCAGACACAAGGCAUAAUAGAGAGAGAGAGAGAGAGAGAGAGAAAAGAUAGCCCAGCCCAGGGUGUGGUGGAGCAGGUCCGUAACCUCAGCAGACAGGUGUAGGUAGGGGAUCAGGAGUGGAAAGUCAGUCUGGAGUAUGUAUUGAGUUCGAGGGUAGACUGAGCUACGUGAGACCCUGUCUCCAAAAGUUAAAAAAAAAGAAUAUAAAAAAGAGAGAAGAUGGCAAACCCUGCCCAUGAUAGAGAGGCCAGUGAGACGUUGGCUCCGUAAAGAAUACCGCGCUGGGGUCUUCAUCAUUAUUUAAAACUGUGCUCUCCUCAAGCAUGACUAAAGGACAUUGAUAGUAGUUUUAUUAAUAUUUAUCCCUUAUUUCAUUGAGUUAUGUGUAUGUUUUAUUAUAGCAUUUCUUUCUACUGUAAUAAUUGAUUCCCAGGAAUAAAGACCCCUGCAGUCAUUCAUGAAUCUAAUAUUGAAUUUUUAAAAACAUGCAGAUUCUCCACCCUGAAGCAUAUUUAAUAACUUAGAGUGUUCCUUCUGCAUGAUCUAACUAGAAUUUAAACAUUAUAUCCAAUUUGAAAAAUUAAAGUGAGUACAGACUGACACUUCCCUAGCCAGCCAGGCUGAUGUGACAUCCUAAGAAGGAGACACAGAAACAGGACAUUAGAGUCCCCGAAUGUUAGCACUCAGAGGAGAGCAGCACCUGUGGAUCUCUGAAAGUAAGUUUCUCAGCUGAGAAGGCUGUGAUCCUCCUCUUAGCAAAACAAGAGUAAAACGUAAUCAUUAAACUAAGGGAGAAAAGAAAAGAACACACUGAAGUUACCUCGCCUGGCCCAUCAUGGUUCAAGUCUGGAAUGAGCCAGUUAAACAGAAAACUAAACCACAUCCAUUGCAGCUUUUAAGAUUGGGCAGGGCUUAAGUUUGCUGGGAGAAUCUCAUGCAGCAUCACAGCCGUCUGCUCAGACAGCAACCUUCUCCUUCAGUGGACGUGUCCGCUCCCUGCUCCACAGUCCACAUUUGUGCUCUGGGUUCAGUAGUUCCUACCUGGAAAAUACAUCAUGAUGCCAGGCAGGUUCCUGGGUUACCAUGGGACUCAGAAAAGAGACCUGUGUUUGGGUCUUGACUUUCCUGUGUGCCAGCAUUCUGAUUUGGAAUAAGACAGUUACCCUGAUUGUAGGAGGAACAGUGUGGUCCCCUCUGCAAAAACACUGGAUGCAAAAGGCAUCUCCUAUAGGAGGACCUAAUGAAGAAUUGCCCGAGAGACCAAGGAUUGCUGACAGCAGACAGUGCCAGCCAAUUGGGAACUGCUGUUUGGAAGCGAUGCUUUCUUGGGACCAAUGGGGUGUGGGUGGAGGGUAUUAACGAAGCUUGUAGCAGUGUGUACAGCAUUUCUCACCUGCUCUCGGAGUCUGUACUGUUGGUCCUACACCAACUCACCUUCAACCUCCAAGGGCAAGUAGGGCACAGGCAGCAAAAUGAUCUGAUGAUCAUUUUUAAAAUUUUUUUAAUAUAUAUAAUUGACAUGGGAUUGGUGAUACCAACCUCAUAAGUGCUGUGAGUUUUUAAGGAGACAGGGUGCUGUGACUGGCACCGACAGCACCUGGCUUUGGUGAACAGGGGCUGCUUUCACUCCACCUCUUGAUGCUCAUCCUUUAGUACUGGCUCAGAAUCAUCCUUCGUGCUUUAGCCUGUUCUGAUGCCUACCACGGGGACUCCUCGACUGCUUCCCAAGACUUGGUCUCCUAAGAACUUGCUUUCUUCUGCUGCUCCAGAGUCCCACGAGUCUGUCCCCAAGUCAUACCCUAACUUGAGUUCUAAUGCUGAGACAGCUUUGCUAAUAAGCCUUUGGAAAAAUCACUUCUUAAAGAUGUACAUUUAAUUAUAUUUAAUUAAAAUUUUAUAAUAAAUGUUCUUUAUUCUUGUUCAUGACGCAUGCAUGCAAUGAAAUAGGACCAUAUCUACCCCCACGGCCCUUCAUCUCCUUUAGGUCUAAUUAGUACUUCCCAUGUGUAUUAGCACGGGCCAUCCACUAGAGCAUGUGAGGCACACCGGCGGCCACAUGUUUACAUCAACUGCCAUCGAUUUUCAGUUGCUUCUCAGCAAGGGGUGGGUGUGGCUGGGUAGCACCCCCUCAUCUAUGAUAGAAUUUUGGCUGACUUGGUCUUGUGCAAGUAACCACAGCGUUGUGAGUUCAGGAGUGUGACAGUCCUAUUCUGUCCCAUAGUUUACAUGUCAUAGCUCCCCUCACUACCACACAGCUGUUCCCCUUCCAUGAUGGUCCCAGAGCCUUGGUGUGGGAGCAGUGAGAAAGAUGUGUUCAACCAGUUAUGCAUCUCAGCAUUGACUGCUGCCCACUCCAAAAUGAAGCUCCCCUGGCCAGUGUUGAGAGAAGCCUUGGUCUAUGGAUAUGAAUAUAGAUGUCUAAGAGGCAAGCAGACAGCAAGAACAUUUAGCAAAAUAAUAAGCUUAGUUCCUACCUAGGACCUAUAGCCUCCCCAGCCGUGGGCUUUUGCCCAGGAUUCAAGUGCUGGACAUGAAAUUCCCUCCUAUGGAGUAGGCCUCAGAUCCAGCCAGAAGCCUGGAUAUUGUUCAUGUAGUGUCUCUGGCUGAAGAACUGACUCCUAUCUCUUUCAACGUACCCAGUGAGCAACAUGUGAUGGUAGCACAAAUGAACUAAAACCUGUGGGCCAAAGGACUAUGCCAGCAACUUGGUAAGGUGGAGCGGUCUGAGAUCCUGCUACCCAGGUACUCUCUGAGAUGGUAGUGCCUCACUGCUCCCUACUGGAUUCCUGGCCAAGAACGUAUGUCCACACUCCCCACAUUGGUCAUGUAGCUCAAAACAGGUCUCCAUGCUAACGAGAUAUCUAGAGGCCCUGAGGGUUUAGCCAAUAAGCUUCCCUUCCCAGACAUUCCUUCCUGAAAAAGGUAUUUAAUUUCUGGUCCACCCUGAGGAGUUGGUAUGCAUCCAUUUUCCAUGAUGAACAAUCAAUGAACAGUAUGGAUGAACAUGGACUAUCUCUUUCUUCGAGAACCACAGUGGGGAGCCACAGUCUGUCUCCUAUAGAAGUCCUCUCUGCACUUCCAAACAACUGCAGCUAAGCUAAGGACAAUAACACAUGAUCUAAGCUGGAGUUCCCCAUUUCUUCAUGCCCUGGGCUAGUGGCCAUCCUCAGCCUGCAGCCCCCCAACUCCAAUCCUAGCUCCUCAAGACUCAGCCGCACCUGAAUGACCAGGAGUUUGGGGGCACCCAGUCACACCUCUUUGCUGGCCCCUGGACCUUCAAUACUUCAUUCAGACUCCCAUCUUAGGCUGCACUCUCCCACCCCGAGUGGUGUCUCAGUGCUACAGCAGCACAGGGAGAUGCAGUCAAACACGCCCAGCAUUUUACCUCCCCAGGAGCAUGUUCCCUCCAAUGGCAGCAGGGCAGAGCAUGGAACCACAAAAAAUAAAUAAAUAAAUAAAUAAAUAAAAUAACACUUGUCAUGGUGACUUGCUACACAGAGGUAGGGUGAGUGGAUGCUCAAUCAGUCGUCAGUAGAAGUACUCUCAGAAACUGAGCUGCGUGACUCUUGUGACAAGGACAUAAUGUUUGUGAGUGAGUGAGGAGUUUGACUAGUUGAGUGUCAUGACAUUUCAGAGUGGAAACACAAUAUUGUCUCAAAUGUACUUCAUUAUAUAGUGUGGGAACAGAAUUUUAAAUUGGUUAUCAAAUUUGCAAUGAAUGUUGAUUGCCCUCAGACAUUUAUCUGUUUAAUUUUUAUUGCUAAUACUUUGAUGUUUGUGUAUAAUAUUCUUAUUAGAAAAUGGGGGUGAAAUUUGCAUUUUUGGUUCCUCCAUGUGUUAUGUAGCUGUUUCGUCUGCAUCAGACAUUCCCUCCUGGAGCGGGAAGGGGUAUGUUAAGGAGGUUCAUGAAACUCAGGAGACAUUGGAGGCCUCUCCCCCAGGUUCUAAGAGCAGCAAACAACUGCUAGGGUGUAGGAUCCUGUUCAGUGGUCUAACUGCCAGCUGUGCAGACAACUCAGUGAUGUAGAGUUAUACGUUGUCACCACAUUUCAGUGGUGAAAAAAGAUACCAGUGUCACCCAUGCCCCCGUAUGCCUCCUCAGUAAAACUCACUGGGUUAGUCACCCAGACGAGACUGGAAUUCUGUUGGCCCAUUAUUGCCUUCUCUAGUUGGGGUAAAUAGACAUUUCUUCAUGGAUUCAGAAAAAAAAGUAUUACAGCAUUGUGGUUAGACCUAAUUAUAGUAUAAUCAACCAAACUCACAUACAUGCUAGGGUUGUAUAAGGCCAGUCGUCCAGUCAUUCAGAAUGAUCUUAUUAUGAAGUAAAAUGGACCGACUUCUCUAUGUAACUGGAUCUCACAAGUCUAGCAUGUCAUUCUAGUCUUUUAAAUGGUCUUAGUAAGCCUAAAGCCAAAAACAUUCCACUAUAUGUGACAUUUAAUAAAGUUCUUACAUUUCUUAAUUCAGUUCUUGAUGUGUAGAAUAUUCUAUUUUGUGUCCAUAAAGAGCUUUGCCAAAACUGCUGGUGGAUACAGUUAUAAUUGUAAGGGUAGUGUUUAUAACCUAGCUUAUUCUCCAUUUCAUCAACUAAACACACCAUUAGGAUAGGCAAUGGAGAGGGAACCAAAGAAGCCCACACUCCUAUCCUUGUGUCUGUAAACAUUAAGUUAUAGGACAAAGCCUGUGAAUUCAGGCUGUAAAUGGAGCUAAGGUUUCCAGUCAGAUGAGUUCAAGGUAGGAGACUCUUCUGAUUCUUAGAGUAGUCUCUGUGUCAUCCCAAAAGUCCUUAGCCAGAAAAGGGGAGCUGAAGGGAUGGCUCAGUAGGUAAGAGCACUAGCUUCUACCAGAGAACCAGGGUUUGAUUCCCAGCACCCACUUCAUGGCCCACAGCCUCUGUGAUUCCAGCUCCAGGGGAUCGAACACCCUGUUUUGGCCUUUGCAGGCAUUGUACUCAUGUGCAUACUCAUCAAGUUGAGAGAGGAAGGCAAAGGGAGGAAAAUCAGAGAGGGAGUGUGGGAGGGGUGUGGGGGGGACAUAGCUGCCAUUGCCAUUGCUGCUUUUGAAGAUGCAAGAAGAGGCAGUAAGUUGGGGGAGGUGACAUCUUGAAAGAGGAAAAUGGCGAGAAAAAGGACUCUGUGUGGAGCCUCCAUCGAGGAAGCAUCUUCACCCAGAGAUCCACGUCAGAUUCGUGGUCUGUGCAGCUGUGAGGUAAAUCGUUUUGUAUUAUUCUGUAAGUCAGUAGGACUAACACACUUAGAGAACUAAUAUAGCUGUACUAGAAUAUACUGCUCCAUCCAAAUAGCCAUGAUUCAUAUUCUCUCUUUCUCUCCCCCGCUCUGUGAAGUGAUAUAUUUUGCUUGUUUUUAGGUCAGACAUUAAUUUACAUGAUUCUAAUAGGCAUUCGAAAAUUUUGCCUUCCAACCCAUAUAAAGUGAUUUUUUUAAAAGUCAGGAAACCCUGGGUUC
rnacentral:sRNA from 1 species